rnacentral:rRNA from 1 species
GACGUAGGGCGCGAGCGUUGUCCGGAUUUAUUGGGCGUAAAGAGCUCGUAGGCGGCUUGUCGCGUCGACUGUGAAAACCCGUGGCUCAACCAUGUGGUCUGCAGUCGAUACGGGCAGGCUAGAUUUCGGUAGGGGAGACUGGAAUUCCUGGUGUAGCGGUGAAAUGCGCAGAUAUCAGGAGGAACACCGGUGGCGAAGGCAGGUCUCUGGGCCGAUAUUGACGCUGAGGAGCGAAAGCGUGGGGAGCGAACAGG